UUUACCGACCGAUGCAUCUCUCGCCUUAAAUCGUUUUUAAGAUCGAACUUAAUUGUUCACAUAAACUGUCGAUGUGAAUAAACGAACAUCGAAAAAGAUUCUAUGUUCUCGAAGAAUCGGAUGCAGAAGUCACGAAGGAGAAACCGCGAUGUCCUCCUCGCGGUUGAGCUCCGAUCAACUCCCGGGGGCAGAACAGGAUAGUGGUUUCAAAAUGGCCGGCAGUGGACCGCGAAGGUGUGUACGCAAUCAGAUUCCGUUGGAAGAAGAGAAUACCCGACGCGGCUUAAUUUGUUGUCACGAGCCGUUGUUUAAUACGAAGAUAAUUGGCUAAGCUGACUACAUCCUGACAUUUCUGUUAAGAACCGCGAUGCCAAACCGUUGCUUCUCUUGUAUUGUCUAAGAAUGUUUAGGAUCGGCACUGGGAGACCUAAAGAUAGAUGCGAUAUUCGUGUGAGCGCGCAUGAAUACGUGAAACCGCGAAUGUCAUAUAUUUUAGGUCAAGUUACUAAAUUAAACGUCCACUUGUUAAACUUCUAUUUCAAAUAAAUUCCCAUGUAGAACAUA